rnacentral:tRNA from 1 species
GUUUUAAUAGUUUACUAAAAACACUGGUCUUGUAAACCAAAAAUAAGAAUAAUUACUUUUAAAACU